rnacentral:rRNA from 1 species
GACGAGGGACCUAGCGUUGUUCGGAAUCAUUGGGCGUAAAGCGGGUGUAGGUGGGCUUCUAAGUCAGAUGUGAAAUCCCAGGGCUCAACCCUGGAAGUGCAUUUGAUACUGGAAGUCUUGAGUGUGGUAGAGGUUACUGGAAUUGUUGGUGUAGUGGUGAAAUACGUAGAUAUCAACAGGAAUACCGGAGGCGAAGGCGAGUAACUGGGCCAACACUGACACUGAGACCCGAAAGCGUGGGGAUCAAACAGG